CCUCGGAUCAGGUAGGAAUACCCGCUGAAC
rnacentral:ncRNA from 2 species